rnacentral:tRNA from 1 species
GCGGGCGUAGUUGUAGUGGCAAAACCCCGGCUUCCCAAGCCGGAGAUGUGGGUUCGAUUCCCAUCGCCCGCU